GUCUGAGCGCUUAUAAUUAAAUAACCACCAGACUUGCUUAGAAAAUUGAAAGGCAGUUUAAGUAUUUAAGCCUCUGUAGAGCAUGAAAGGAGCAAAUCUCUUAAGACACAGACAUUUGUAAUAUUGUCUUUUACCAGCUCGCUCUCCCAUCCCCUUUCCACGAGUCCUCUUCAACGUUUGACAAGCCAAGUAGUCACGUUCAGUAGCUCUCAUUUUCCAAAUACCCUCAGUCUCAGAUCACAUAUGUUCCUGUUUGUUGUAGUUUGUGCAUGCUUUUUUGUCAUCUUCUCAUUAUUCACUUAAUUUCUCUUCUUAUGGCAACUCUACCUUCAUCAUAUGACUACCUGCAGACCCUCUGGCUCUGCCAGUUCUACUUCCUCCACCAUUACCAACGACGGGGACAGCAGAUGCCCAGGGGCUCAACAGGCAGAAACAUAACCUUCUGGAGUGGGUGGAGUGGAAGAUGGAGUAUGGGAAUACAUUUUCCAAAAUUUAUCCCAUUAAUAGUUCCUGUUUGGAUUCCUCUAACAAGAAGCAAGCACACGUGAUCCGGAAGAUGUAAAGAGCGCAAGGGAAGCUGGGAAAAGAAGUGCUAUUAGAACUGGACAGAGGUAUCUUUAAGGAAGAAUGGACACGUGAUUGAGAGGAGCUUCUUGUCGGUUUGUCCUGCAUCUGGCUGUCUUGCUUAACUACUGUGAUUCUUUUUUCUGCAUCCAUUAAUCUUAGAGUUUGAGCCUCCUUAUUAGAGAGAUCACCAGAAGACUUUGAUAUUUAACCUCAUCUUUUACUUCUGGAUCCUUCACCUUUAUUAAAGUUACCUUUAAUCCUUCACCUUUAAUUAAGAGUAUUUUAUCCUUCAAAUCAUUGUCAAACAUUUAAAACAUGCUUUAAGGUAGAAAAGCAAUUUUUUUUUAACAUUUCCAGCACCAUAGUAAACAUUCUCUUGUCAAGCUUGACGAUGAUGCUAUUUCUAUAUUAGAGUUAUUAUUGCUCAUUAAUCUGAGGUGACAAGAUGGGGGGGUUUAAAAAAAUCUUCAUUUUUGAGUAUCUAUAUAUUGAUACAUGAAUCUUUCUGUCUGCAUUAUACAUAAUGGAGAAAAUUCAUUACAAUUUGAAAGACUAAUCCAGUAAAACUAUUGUGAGAUUGAUAGCAUGCCAAGAAGUG
rnacentral:lncRNA from 1 species